rnacentral:rRNA from 1 species
GCAGUCGAACGCGACUGGGGGCUUCGGCUCUCAGUUGAGUGGCGAACGGGUGAGUAACACGUGGGUGACCUACCUUCGAAUGGGGGAUAACGUCCCGAAAGGGACGCUAAUACCGCAUAACAUCCUGCCUUUGAACAGGUGGAGAUCAAAGCUGGGGAUCGUAAGACCUGGCGUUUGGAGAGGGGCCCGCGUCCGAUUAGCUAGUUGGUGAGGUAACGGCCCACCAAGGCAACGAUCGGUAGCCGGCCUGAGAGGGCGGACGGCCACACUGGGACUGAGACACGGCCCAGACUCCUACGGGAGGCAGCAGUGGGGAAUUGUUCGCAAUGGGCGCAAGCCUGACGACGCAACGCCGCGUGGAGGAUGAAGGUCUUCGGAUUGUAAACUCCUGUUGCCCGGGACGAAACACUCUGACCUAACACGUCAGAGUCUGACGGUACCGGGUGAGGAAGCCCCGGCUAACUCUGUGCCAGCAGCCGCGGUAAUACAGAGGGGGCUAGCGUUGUUCGGAAUUACUGGGCGUAAAGGGCGCGUAGGUGGCCUGUUAAGUCGAACGUGAAAUCCCCGGGCUCAACCCGGGAACUGCGUCCGAGACUGGCAGGCUCGAAUCCGGGAGAGGGAUGUGGAAUUCCAGGUGUAGCGGUGAAAUGCGUAAAUAUCUGGAGAACACCGGUGGCGAAGGCGGCAUCCUGGACCGUUUUUGACGCUGAGGGCCGAAAGCCAGGGAACAAACGGGAUAAAUACCCGGUAGUCCUGGCCCUAACGAUGAUGCUUGGUGUGGCGGGUAUCGAUUCCUGCCGUGCCAAACUUACGCAUUAACAU